rnacentral:rRNA from 1 species
GCGAACGCUGGCGGCGUGCCUAACACAUGCAAGUCAAGGAGGAUGGUUCCUUCGGGAAUCGUUCAACUGGCGGACGGGUGAGUAACGCGUAGGUAAUCUGCCCUUUUCCGGGACAUAACAUCGAGAAAUCGGUACUAAUAUCCCAUGAGGCCUUAGGGUCAAAGCUUCGGCGGUAAAGGAUGAGCCUGCGUCUGAUUAGCUAGUUGGUGAGGUAAUGGCUCACCAAGGCUUCGAUCAGUAGCUGGUCUGAGAGGACGAUCAGCCACACUGGAACUGAGACACGGUCCAGACUCCUACGGGAGGCAGCAGUGAGGAAUUUUGGUCAAUGGGGGAAACCCUGAACCAGCGACGCCGCGUGUGGGAUGACGGGGCUCUGCCCUGUAAACCACUGUCGGAAGGGAAGAAAAGUCCCCUUAGGGGACCGGGACAGUACCUUCAGAGGAAGGACCGGCUAACUACGUGCCAGCAGCCGCGGUAAUACGUAGGGUCCAAGCGUUGUCCGGAUUUACUGGGUGU